GAAAUCUGUCCAAGAGCUUCAAUACUUGGUUCUUCAGAAUCACCUGGGCUGAGUGACUAUUGUCUACAUGGUUGAACGAUGGAAAAAUUUAAAAAUAUCUAUAAUGAAUUCAUCGUUGGACCGACAGAUGGUGUGAAUGUUUGCUUGGAAUCAUUUAAAGGCUUAAUUAACUACAUGGCUACCUUGAUUUAGUAAAUGUCUAUAAGACACCACCUCUCAAGAAAUCUGUCCAAGAGCUUCAAUACUUGCUUCUUCAGAAUCACCUGGGCUGAGUGACUAUUGUCUACAUGGUUGAACGAUGGAAAAAUUUAAAAAUAUCUAUAAUGAAUUCAUCAUUGGACCGACAGAUGGUGUGAAUGUUUGCUUGGAAUCAUUUAAAGGCUUAAUUAACUACAUGGCUACCUUGAUUUAGUAAAUGUCUAUAAGACACCACCUCUCAAGAAAUCUGUCCAAGAGCUUCAAUACUUGGUUUUUCAGAAUCACCUGGGCUGAGUGACUAUUGUCUACAUAGUUGAACGAUGGAAAAAUGUAAAUUAAAUUAUAAUAAUCAAUGAUAUAUUAAUACAUAGAAAUAUCAUUCUUAUGACAUCCGUUGAUUAUUUAAAAACAGUUUUUUUCCUAAAAUAUUCAGUAUUUAUAAUUAAGAUAUGAAAAUGCACCUUAAGAUUCACUAU